GCCUUCGGGCAUUUGGUCAAUUUGAAACGAUACAGAGAAGAUGUAGGUUUUUCCACACGUCCUGAGUUCGAAACCCGUACUGACCAAUUCUACAGUAGCAUGGCCCCUGCACUAAGGAUGACACGCUCAAUCAAAGAGAAGCUACAAAUUUUU
rnacentral:snRNA from 1 species